rnacentral:rRNA from 1 species
AUUGAACGCUGGCGGCAUGCUUUACACAUGCAAGUCGAACGGCAGCGCGGGCUUCGGCCUGGCGGCGAGUGGCGAACGGGUGAGUAAUGCAUCGGAACGUGCCCAGUAGUGGGGGAUAGCCCGGCGAAAGCCGGAUUAAUACCGCAUACGACCUGAGGGUGAAAGCGGGGGACCGAAAGGCCUCGCGCUAUUGGAGCGGCCGAUGUCGGAUUAGCUAGUUGGUGGGGUAAAGGCUUACCAAGGCGACGAUCCGUAGCUGGUCUGAGAGGACGUCCAGCCACACUGGGACUGAGACACGGCCCAGACUCCUACGGGAGGCAGCAGUGGGGAAUUUUGGACAAUGGGGGCAACCCUGAUCCAGCCAUGCCGCGUGCGGGAAGAAGGCCUUCGGGUUGUAAACCGCUUUUGUUCGGGAAGAGAUCCUCUGGGCUAAUACCCCGGGGGGAUGACGGUACCGGAAGAAUAAGCACCGGCUAACUACGUG